rnacentral:rRNA from 1 species
CGCGCAGGCGGCUGGGCAAGUGGGUGGUGAAAUCCCCGGGCUCAACCCGGGGUUGGCCACCGAGACUGUCUAGCUGGAGUGUGGGAGAGGAGGGUGGAAUUCCUGGUGUAGCGGUGAAAUGCGUAGAGAUCAGGAGGAACACCGGUGGCGAAGGCGGCUCUCUGGACCACGACUGACGCUGAGGCGCGAAAGCUAGGGGAGCAAACAGGAUUAGAUACCCUGGUAGUCCUAGCCCUAAACGAUGGAUACUUGCUGUGGGGGGUAUUAAAUCCCCCUGUGGCGGAGCUAACGCGUUAAGUAUCCCGCCUGGGGAGUACGGUCGCAAGUCUGAA